UCUUCCUCUGUUCCCUCUUUUCCCUUAUCCCUUUCCCGCUCCUCUCUCGAUCCUCUCUCAAUCCUCCCCUCCGGAUUCUCCUCUCUCCGUCGCAAUGCCGUCGCCAUUCGUCGCAGCCCAAGGGCCCCUCACUAUUCGCAGACCAUCACAGCCCAAGAGCCCGUCGUUGUUCGUUCACUAACCAUCACAGCCGAGGGCCCGUCGCCUUAAGUCCAUACUCGAGAACCCUUUUCCGACGAACAAGCUCUGGGACCUUCGAGCAGUGCGACCCUGCGCAAUCUCGAAGAUGAUGAAUGUUUUCAGCCCCUAGUUAUGGAUUCAGACCACGAUCUUGGGGAGAAUUCGAUUCCGGUUCUUAGGCGUUUGAGACUGGGGCUCAACAACAGACCGGCAUCAGUGCAUAAGCGAGACUCGGUGGAGGUUUCUUGUAAUGUGGAUGAUGAAAUAGAAGAGUUUUCUUCGCAGGAGGGUCUGCACGGAGGCUUAGGGAGCUGAAGUCACAUUUGGAAGUACUUAGUCCAAUAUAGCAAAUCAAGGGCAAAAGCGUGCCAAUUCUCCUAGGGUUCGCGGCAGUUAUAAAAUUAGGAUGAUGCCAUGCAUGCACGCACUACAGCCGUCAGAUG